rnacentral:rRNA from 1 species
GACGAACGCUGGCGGCGUGCUUAACACAUGCAAGUCGAGCGGUAAGGCCCUUUCGGGGGUACACGAGCGGCGAACGGGUGAGUAACACGUGGGUGACCUGCCCUCAGCUCUGGGAUAAGCCUGGGAAACCGGGUCUAAUACUGGAUAUGACUCCAUGACGCAUGUUGUGGGGUGGAAAGCCUUGUGCGGCUGAGGAUGGGCCCGCGGCCUAUCAGCUUGUUGGUGGGGUGAUGGCCUACCAAGGCGACGACGGGUAGCCGGCCUGAGAGGGCGACCGGCCACACUGGGACUGAGACACGGCCCAGACUCCUACGGGAGGCAGCAGUGGGGAAUUUUGGACAAUGGGGGCAACCCUGAUCCAGCCAUGCCGCGUGCGGGAAGAAGG